AUGGCACACCAUAUUUUUCAAUCCUUCAUUCGGCCAUUUUCACACGCCUCGCCGUUAUACGUUAGCAUGUUUGCGCUUUUCGUGGAAGUUGCAGAGGAUGUACUCAUCGCAUUUCAACGAUGAUAUAAUAUGUACAGCAAAAAUUUAUGGGGCAAGGGUGACAUGAAUCAGAUUGACAAGAAUCCAUAUUCCUACUCCUCAAUAAUGCUAUCAUCACUGCCAUCAGAUUCAUCAAUGAUAGUGGCAUCAGUGACACAUGCAGAUAAGUGUUGGACAUCACUGCAGGAAUAGCUUCCUUGUGCCUGCCAAUAGCAAGGUACCAGAUUAUACAGCAGUUAUGUGGAAACAGAUUCCCACAAUAGGGGGACCAGAUUGACACCUACAUUGUACAGUAUCAGGCAGUUAUAUCAGAACUGGAAAAACUGGAUCCAAACAAGACUAUAUUGCUUGGAAGAAACAUGUCGACUCUGAAGUUUAACCCUUAUUAACCCAUGGCACUUCCAGAGACAUCCUGAUACCAUGGUUCUAUGUCAUUUGAAAUAUACCUGUGGAGGUUUUUAAAGUGGUUUUUUAUGGGGGGGGGGGGGGGGGGGGGGGGGGGUGGGGUGUUAUUAAUUGGAAGAAUUUAUAUUUGAUGAUUCAAAUGAAAAUCUGCAUGUUGAAUUAUGAAUGUCAUAAUAAAUGUACUUUUUGAAUGAGUUCAAGAAUGGUUGUCCUGAUAAAAAGUGUAGAGUCAAAAGUUAACAAAUUGUCAAAAACACUGGUCAGGUCUGAAUUCAUCAUCUUGGACACCUUGCAGUUGGAAUUAUGAUCUCUAUGAAGAAAUGCUGAAAAUCUUGUAAAAGAGGAAAUGACAAGUUGGGGUCCAAGGCACUUGCAUAUAUGCAUGAGAAGGUGUUCUAUCCAGGCUUGAGGUCAAUUACAUAGCAAUGUAACGCCUUACAUUACCUAGAAAAUUUCACAUUACCAUUACUCCUAUUUUGAAAUAUAAUGUAUUACAUUACUUGAGAGUGAAUUUACAUUACACAUUUACAUAACAUACUGUCAGAUAUUAAAGAAAUGGCAGAAAAAUUAUUUCUGUAUUAUGAUUUUUAAUAUAAGUACACAAAAUAUUCAGCAAUGUUAGGAAACAUAUCUAUUAAGUUAUUCAUUGCAUUUGAUUGUCAUCAAUGUUUCAAAUGCUUCAGUCAAUCACUAAUAUAAUGAAUUAUUCUAAAUCUUCAAAAUAUCAUCAAAUAUUUGAAGUAGUGUAAAUGUAAUGAAAAAUAAUGUGCAGUACAGUAUGCAUUACAUUACCAUUACUUGUAAUGCAAAAAUGGUCCAUUACACCCCCAUUACAUUGAAACUGGCUGUCAUUUAAUUACCAUUACCCCAGGCCUGGUUCUGUCAAGAGACUUUGUCUCAGGAAGUGGCCGAGAUUGGUGGUGACAAUUUUGUUGGAUGUGAAUUUACUGACACACAUGUCUACACUUGCUACACAAUAUAGCAUGUGGUGGUUUCAACAAGAAAGUUCUUACUCUGUAGGAAAUGACGAAUAGCUAAUGGAUUCACAUUUUUUCUGACUUUUCUUCUGUACAUUAGAUGCAUUGGAAAAACUUUCCUUUCCAUUAUCUUUUGCUGGUUCAUACUUUGAAAUAAAAUCAAGUCCGAAAAUAAAGUAUUUUGGUUGUUUUUUUUCAAUGAAUUUAAAAAAAUGUAAUCUGUAAUCCUUGCAUAUUUUCUUGGUGUUCUGUGAUUGCAUAGGCCUAUUGAUUUUUAUUUGUAUUCAGGUAUAAUUUCUUCUUCAGUGUCUUGAAAGAAAUUAAUUUUUCAAUAACGCAAAGAAAAAUGUAGUUAACAGUAUGAUUUUAAAAAAAAAAAAAUUGACACGGGUAGGAAUUGAACCCGGAUCUCCCGAUUCAAGGACGGGCUCUCUACCACUAAGCCACGACGUAUAUGAAGUCAUUCGCUCAUAAAUCAUUCAUACAUUUACUUGCCCUAAUUAACGUUAUACUUUCGAUAUAUCGGCAAUAGUUUUAGUUAUAUCAAUGCAUGUUCUAUAAAUUCUUUUCAUUUUGAUCUUAGUGAUUCUGUUGGUGUCGUCUAAAUAAAAACUUUCUAUAGCAUUGAAGGUCCGAUUUGUCGGACAGCAGAUUCGUUUGUUUACGCAUCAAAAUUCUAUAGCUUUUAGAAUUCCUGCACAAACUAGCUGCAAUAAUGUAGCCCUAUCCAAUUUUUUUUAUUCUGCCGUUUUCAGGAUAGGGCUACAAUUCCAUAGGAUCUCCGUAAUAGGGUCGGAAAGUCUCGUUUACUUUCACUUUCGAUUUACUACUUCCGGGCAGCAGUCGAAAAAUGUCACUUUGUUUUGCGUUGGUUAUGCUCAGAUGACAAGUGUUAAAAUGAACCUACAGCCUAUAUAGAUUCCCUACUUAUGCAAAAAGAAGAAGAAGUUGAUUUAUAGUUGCAGAUGCUGUUAUAUACAUCAUUUCCUUCAGAAGUAUCAAUGUGUUGGCGGCUGUUAUGAAGAGAAUGGGGCCCAUUUUAACAACUUCUAGGAUGGGCAGUACUUGGGUUCAUACCAGUGAUCAAUUUCUCAUGACUCUUAUGAAGUUGCACCUAAAUCUAAGGGAUCUACAUUUAGCAGGCCAGAGGGCUCAAUGCCGAAUUUACCUCUGAAAAAAUCGCAAUGGAUACAACAAACAUAACACUGAAUUUAACUUUAAAAUUGAAUAACUAGUCAUUAUCUGACAGCAACUACAUUGUGCAAAAUUUGUCACACAGCAAAGGCUAUCACUUGUGUAGCAUAAUUGUUCUGAAUUCUAUCCAGAAUCCACCUCUGAUGGUGACAUUGUUGAUCACUGAGGUGUAUUGGAGAUAUUGAAGCCAUAUGAUAUAUGAUUCUUGCUAAUAAAGGAUUUGAUAUAUUU